AUGCCUCAUCACUCGAGAUGAACCCAGACUCGGUCCUCAAAUCAGCACUAUAAACUCUUCGGGCGCCCAAACUGGGCUGCUUAAGCUCAGUAGACAGCCAGGUCAGUCCAAACUCCACAGGCCGCUUCGGGCUUCCCUCGCUCCCUCCCGCCGCUCCGCUACAGGCGCAGCGCGACAAAGCGGAGAGGGGAAAUGGAAAUUGUUCUCUGCGCGCAGCAAUUGGCUAACAGGGCGGGAGAGGCGUGGCGUCCUUGUCAGGCUUUCCCGGCAAACUGAGCGCUUUGGAUGAUUUCGCUGCGCCGGAAAUUCUGCUUGACUCGAGGGCCAACGGCGGACGAGGUAAAAUUAUGCCCGGUGCAAAACAAGCGGCGCGUCCUCCCUGCUUUCCAAGGAAAGGAGCUGGAAAACCAAGAGAAUAUAGAAGUAGGUGAGAAGAAGGAGGCAAGAAAAGCAAAGUUCAAGUGAAAAAGAAAAGAAUGGAAAGAAACAUGAAGGAUCUUGAAAGAUAAAGACUUUGAUGACCUUGGACAAGCUAAGGAAUCACUCUGUAAUUAAGCACGUAGUACCACUUUAGAGAAAAAGAGCUGAUACCCUAUAUUAAUUGUUCAUAAGCUGUUAUUGUGAAUUAAAGGUUUGACUGGUUCUUUGAGUUAA